rnacentral:lncRNA from 1 species
GUCCCCAAACCCCCAGGAUUUACCCUGUCCCCAAACCCCCAGGAUUUACCCUGUCCCCAAACCCCCAGGAUUUACCCUGUCCCCACACCCCAGGAUUUAUCCUGCCCACACCCCCAAGAUUUCACCCUGUCCCAAACCCCCAAGGUUUAGAUUUACCCUGUCCCAAAUCCCCAGGUUUCACCCUGUCCCCACACCCCCAGGGUUCACCUUUCUUGCUCCACAGAAAUCCAACCAAACCUUUCCCUCCGCUCCAGGCUCUCCAAUGGGACUGAUGCCUUUUGCUUUCCAGAAGAAUUUCCCAAUCAGGAGUUUGGCUCUCGGGCUCAGAGCAAGCUGGAUUUUCACUCCAAUUACACCGUGGUGGUUUCUGCCUCCAAUGAAUUAGGAAAUGCCUCUUCCCAGCCACUCACCUUCAUGUUGAUAGACAUAGUGAAGCCACAUCCUCCCGACUUUUUGGUGGAAUUUGAUGAUUCUUCUGCCACCAGCUGCACCAUUUCCUGGCAGGGUGAAGCACAAGCACAGCACUGCAGGCUGAGGUAUCGCCCCCUCAGCAGGCACACCUGGAGCACGGUAACCCUCUCGGGAUUGAGGGAUCUGGGGACCUGCUGGAGAGGAAAAAGCUCAGAGCCCCUUGCAGAGCCUAAAGGAGAGCUGGAGAGGAACUGGGGACAAGGAUGGAGGGACAGGACACGGGGAAUGGAUUCCCAGAGGGCAGGGCUGGGUGGGAUAGUGGGCAGGAAUGUGAUGAGGGGCUGGGAUGGAAUUCCCAGAGAACUGGCUGCUCCUGGAUCCCUGGCAGUGCCCCAGGCCAGGCUGGAACACCCUGGGACAGUGGGAGGUGUUUAAGUUCCCACCAAAACCAUUCCAUGACCCCACGAAGUUUUUGCUUUGAGUGGCAAAAGGAACGUUUUGCUGGGAGCUGAGCUGAUCACUCAAACAGAGAUUUUGGUAUUGGCACAUAAGUAAUGAGGGAUUUUUCAGAUGAAGCCCCGCAGGCCUGAUGAUUCCUCACAUCAUUUUUGAAUUAUUGAAGCUGCCUCAGAUCAAGAUUUCUCUGUUAUUUUUUAAAGUUGCCUCUGAAUUUGUGAUUCAGCCUCUCACCGCCCUUGUUUCCCCGCGAGUUUAACAUCAAUUCCCUCGUGCCCGCUGCAGGUGGAAAGCUCCAGCAGGGAGAAAUGUCACCUGCGGGGGCUGGAGCCGGACACGGAGUACGAGUUCCAGGCGAGCUGCAGGAUGCUGCCGGGCCGAGGGCUGUGGAGCGACUGGAGCAGGAGCCCGAGCCGCACCCCGGCAGCAGGUGAGUGUCAGGAAAAUUAACCCGCCGACCCCAGGGGUGUGUGUCCGAAAAGGAGACUUUGUUGGGAUAAAGGGAGAGCCCAUGGGGCAUUGCACUGGGAUCUCUCAGAUUUUUGGAGGACUCCCCUCCCUUUUUAUCCCAAUUUCCCUCUCUCUUUCCCCAUGGGCAGAGGUACUCGAGAGGCACAGACUUCCCUAAGAUACCUGAGAUUCCCCUCUAAUGCACAACCCUCCCUUUUAAUUCUUAAUUCUUAUACAAUUCAUGAUUUUCCCCAUUGCUUCUUUCAUCUUCCAAUAUCCAGUUUCAUUUCUCAGCAAACCCACAGCCUGUUUGUAAAGGCAAAUCUCUUCUCCCAUUCAUCAAUCAGUGGAAUCCAUCCCAUUGUUUCUUUUAUCUCUCGGUGCUGGUUUUAUCUACCAGAUCCACAGCUUGUUUGUAAAGAUAAAUCCGACAUUUCUUUCAUCUAGAAUCCUGGAAAUCUGGAAUCCUUGAAAUCUGGAAUCACAGAAUUCUGGAACCACAGAAUCCUGGAAUCAUGGAACUAGAAAUCUGGAAUCCCAGAAUCCUGGAAUCCCAGAAUCCUGGAAUCACAGAAUAUCCUGAGCUGGAAGUGACCCAGAGGGUCGAGCCCAGCUUACAUCACACACCUUCAUUCCAUGCACCGGAGGUGUGAGCCCUUCCUGCCUCCCCCACCUUCCUCUCGACAGUUUUCUCCCCUUUCUCACACCCCGAGUUUGUGGCUGUCACCCCACCCUGUCCGCGCCGGUUUUUAGCUGAUCGAGGAGCUCUUUGUGUCCCCAGAUGAGGUGACAAAAAGGCGAGAAGCUCUGGGCGCAUCAUCUGCCUUGGAGGAGCUGAACUUCUCCACAACCUGUCUGGUUGCAAACCCAAAAUUAAACCUUUUAGAGGAGAAAUUUCUUCUCCAAAUCCUCCACAACUUGUCUGGUUGCAAACUCAAACCUUUUCAUGGAGAAAUUCCUUCUCCAAAUUCUCCACAACCUGUCUGGUUGCAAAUCCC